rnacentral:rRNA from 1 species
UGGGGAAUAUUGCACAAUGGGCGAAAGCCUGAUGCAGCAACGCCGCGUGAGCGAUGAAGGCCCUCGGGUCGUAAAGCUCUGUCCUCAAGGAAGAUAAUGACGGUACUUGAGGAGGAAGCCCCGGCUAACUACGUGCCAGCAGCCGCGGUAAUACGUAGGGGGCUAGCGUUAUCCGGAAUUACUUGGCGUAAAGGGUGCGUAGGUGGUUUCUUAAGUCAGAGGUGAAAGGCUACGGCUCAACCGUAGUAAGCCUUUGAAACUGGGAAACUUGAGUGCAGGAGAGGAGAGUGGAAUUCCUAGUGUAGCGGUGAAAUGCGUAGAUAUUAGGAGGAACACCAGUUGCGAAGGCGGCUCUCUGGACGGUAACUGACGCUGAGACGCGAAAGCGUGGGGAGCAAACA